rnacentral:rRNA from 1 species
UACGAAGGGUGCAAGCGUUACUCGGAAUUACUGGGCGUAAAGCGUGCGUAGGUGGUGAGUUAAGUCUGUCGUGAAAGCCCCGGGCUCAACCUGGGAACUGCGUCUGAUACUGGAUGGCUUGAAUCCGGGAGAGGGAUGCAGAAUUCCAGGUGUAGCGGUGAAAUGCGUAGAUAUCUGGAGGAAUACCGGUGGCGAAGGCGGCAUCCUGGACCGGCAUUGACGCUGAGGAGCGAAAGCUAGGGGAGCAAACGGG